AGAGCAGCCGCGGUAAGACGGAGGGUGCUAGCGUUGUUCGGAAUCACUGGGCGUAAAGGGCGCGUAGGCGGCCUGUUAAGUCGGAUGUGAAAGCCCGGGGCUCAACCCCGGAACUGCAUCCGAGACUGGCAGGCUUGAGACCGGGAGAGGAGGGUGGAAUAUCCAGUGUAGAGGUGAAAUUCGUAGAUAUUGGAUGGAACACCGGUGGCGAAAGCGGCUCUCUGGCCCGGAUCUGACGCUGAGGCGCGAAAGCGUGGGGAGCAAACAGGAUUAGAUACCCGUGUAGUCCCUGUCUCUUAUACA
rnacentral:rRNA from 1 species